ensembl:lncRNA
AAAGAAAAAUAAAUAAUCCCAGAAGCCAGAAUUUCUUUUCAUGUUUUCUACAUCACAGAAUCAAAAAGACCUUUGCUUUGAAAGAAACUGGAAACCUGGUCAUAAGGGAUAAGGAGAAUGACAUCUCUGCUACAGUCUUCAUCAGCAAGGGCUCUAGUCACAUAUCCUAAGCUGCGGAAAGCAAAGGUAAGAACUGGGAGAAGGAAGAUCUGCCUGCUGUAAGUGAAGAUCAAGAUCAUCUAAAGAAUCUGAAAUUGCACAAGUCCAUGGGACCCAACAAGAUCCAUCCACGGGUUCUGAGGAAAAUGUUGGAUGAAGUUACCAAGUCUCUAUGCAUCAUAUUGGAAAAGUCAUGGCAGUCUGGUGAAGUUCCUACUAACUGGAAAAGGGGAAACAUAACUCCCAUUUUCAAGAAGGGAAAAUAAGAAGAUCCAGGGAACGACAGGCCAGUCAGUCUCACCUCUGUACCUGGCAAGAUCACGGAGCAGAUCCUGCUGAAGGCACUACUAAGGCACUUGGAAAAUGAAGAUGAUGUGAUCGGUAUUAACCAACAUGGCUUCACCAAGCACAAACUGUGCCUAACAAACUUGGUACCUUUUUAUGAUGGAGUUACAGCAUCAGUAGAUACAGGAAGAGCAACUGAUCUCAGCUGAGCUUGUACAAAGCAUUUGACACUGUUCUGCAUGACGUCCUGGUUGUGAAAUUGGAGAAAUAUGGAUAUGAGGGAUGGGCCACUUGCUGGAUAAGGAAUUGUCUGUAUGGUUGCACUCAGAGUCUGCUCAAUGUCCAACUGGAGACUGGUGGCAAGUGGCAUUCCUCAGGGAUUGGUGCUGGAACUGGGGUUGUUUGACAUCUUUGUAGGUGACAUGGACAGUAGGAUCUAGUUCACUCUCAGCAAGUUUGCAGACAACAUCAAGCUAAGUGGUGCAGUUGACAUGCUAAAGGGAAGGAAUGCCAUCCAGAGAGACCUGGACAGGCUUGAGAGGUGAACCCAUGCCAACUUCAUGAAGUUCAACAUGGCCAAGUGCAAGGUACCCAACCCUGCACCUGGGUGGGGGCAAUCCCAAGCACAGAUACAGACUGGGCUUGAGAGCAGCCCUGAGGAGAAGGAUUUGGGGGUGUUGGUUGAUGAAAGGUUCAACAUGAACCAGCAAUGUGUGUUUGCAGCCCAGAAGGACAAUUGUAUCCAGGGCUAGAUCAAGAGAAGCAUGGCCAGCAAGUCGUGGGAGAUGAUUCUGCUCCUCUACUCUGCUCUCAUGAGAACCCACCUGGAGUGCUGAAUGCACCAGAAGGACACUGAGCUGUGGAAUGGGUCCAGAGGAGGGCCACAAGGAUGAUCAGAAGGCAGGAGCACCUUCCCUACAGGGACAUGCUGAGAGAGCUGGAGCUCUACAGCCUUGAGAAGAAAAGGCUUCAAGAGAAUCUAAUAGUGGCCUUCCAGUACCUGAAGGGGGGCUAUAGAAAAGCUGGGGAGUGACUUAUUAUAAGGACAGGUAACAACAGGACAAGGGGAAAUGGUUUUAAACAGGAAGAGGAUAGAUUUAGACUAGAUAUUAGGAAGAAAUUCUUUACUUUGAGGAUGAUGAGAUACUGGAACAGGUUGCCCAGUUGGAUUGUGGAUGCCCUCUCACUGGAAGCAUUCAAGGCCAGCCUGCAAGCAACAUGGUGUAGUGGGAGGUGUUUCUGCCUGUAACAGCAGGGGUUGGAACUAGAUGACCUUAAAGGUACCUUCCAU